UACAGAGGUCUCAAGCGUUGUUCGGAUUCAUUGGGCGUAAAGGGGUGUGUAGGUGGCGCCGUAAGUCGGGGUGUGAAAUUUCGAGGCUUAACUUCGAAACUGCAUUCGAUACUGCCGUGCUUGAGGACUGGAGAGGAGACUGGAAUUUACGGUGUAGCGGUGAAAUGCGUAGAUAUCGUAAGGAAGACCAGUGGCGAAGGCGGGUCUCUGGACAGUUCCUGACGCUGAGGCA
rnacentral:rRNA from 1 species